UACAGAGGUCCCAAGCGUUGUUCGGAUUCAUUGGGCGUAAAGGGUGCGUAGGCGGCGCGGUAAGUCGGGUGUGAAAUCUCGGAGCUUAACUCCGAAACUGCAUUCGAUACUGCCGUGCUUGAGGACUGGAGAGGAGACUGGAAUUUACGGUGUAGCGGUGAAAUGCGUAGAUAUCGUAAGGAAGACCAGUGGCGAAGGCGGGUCUCUGGACAGUUCCUGACACUGAGGCACGAAGGCUAGGGGAGCAAACGGG
rnacentral:rRNA from 1 species